rnacentral:rRNA from 1 species
GAUGAACGCUGGCGGCGUGCCUAAUACAUGCAAGUCGAGCGAACGGACGAGAAGCUUGCUUCUCUGAUGUUAGCGGCGGACGCGUGAGUAACACGUGGAUAACCUACCUAUAAGACUGGGAUAACUUCGGGAAACCGGAGCUAAUACCGGAUAAUAUUUUGAACCGCAUGGUUCAAAAGUGAAAGACGGUCUUGCUGUCACUUAUAGAUGGAUCCGCGCUGCAUUAGCUAGUUGGUAAGGUAACGGCUUACCAAGGCAACGAUGCAUAGCCGACCUGAGAGGGUGAUCGGCCACACUGGAACUGAGACACGGUCCAGACUCCUACGGGAGGCAGCAGUAGGGAAUCUUCCGCAAUGGGCGAAAGCCUGACGGAGCAACGCCGCGUGAGUGAUGAAGGUCUUCGGAUCGUAAAACUCUGUUAUUAGGGAAGAACAUAUGUGUAAGUAACUGUGCACAUCUUGACGGUACCUAAUCAGAAAGCCACGGCUAACUACGUG